GACUGUUUUAGAUGAAUGAUGAAAGAUUUCGACAGAUAAGUGGUACUCCAAAUCUGAAGUCCACAAUACCCGAACAUGCCGCCGGGACUCUUGUGUCACCUCACGCGCAGCGUGUUGUCACGUCAAUUCAGUGUGAGGACAUGAUGAAUAUUUUGACCUACGUAUACUAGUACUACUACUGUACUACUUACUAGUCGCAAUUAGUGUCACAUUUUAACCAUAGGUUUAACUAACAAAAUAUCAAAUGCAUGUCACCGAAAAUUAUACCAUUGGAAACUAUGUUCAAAUACGAAUCAAACGAUAUAAUUUUUUGUGACAUGCACUAACAUUUGGUUAGUAAAAUUUAUGAACAAAAUUUGACACAUAUUACGAAGGGGACCAAUAAACCAAGAGGGAGCUAGUAGUACGAGUAGGAAACAAAAGAAAAAAAAACCUCGGCCACCCCACCCACCCACGAUCUCUCCCCUUCCCUGAAAUCCCGACUCUCUUCCCUUGUGUGCAUCGCCGCCGGGACCCUUCACCUGCUUCCACCGCGCCGCUCCACUCCGCGAACCCCAACCACCUACAGCCGCCGGCCUACCCACACCUCCGUUUACCCACCAUCCGUGGCGCGCCGUCCUGGCCCUCUUCCACCGCCGGGAGUCGCCUCGGGCCCCGCCUAUCGCCGCGUGACACCCUACCCGCCCCUGACCACCGGAAACCACGCGCACCUUGCCGUCCCUCGCGUGCUAGCCCGCCCUUCGCCGUGCAGCGGACCCAGCCACCACGCAGAUCAUGCCGCCCCUGCAAACCUGAUCGCUGAUCCAGUCGAGGGGGCGGCCGGAUCCAGCCGACCACGACCCCCGGCAAGGCAUGGGAAGCGGCGUGCACGGGGCGGCCUCCUGCUCCCGGCCGAUGUAGUGGUUGUCUGCGCCGCCGUCCUACAGUGCGAUGGGGAUCCACCGUCGCGGCGCUCAUGACGUUCGGCACCGCCACCUCCGGCCGUUCAAGACGGAGCUCCUGGAUGGUGCUAGCCUAGCUCCAUGCUUCGGACAUGGAGAGGUGGUGGCUGGCUCACACUUAGGAUGGCUUCGCAUCAGUCCAACUACAUUGCUAGUCCCCGUUCAGGGAUCCUGAAGAAAAUACAUGUGGGUUUGGCAUGUCUCACAUCCUGCAGCAACGAUCCUCUGCAAGCCCUGAGCCGCCAGUGUUCCGUCCACAAAUCAGUGAGGGAUGUAAAAGCGGCUGUGGCAUCUUGUCAGCUCCCCAUCAAAUGUAAGCCUAUUAUGUCGUCCUUCAGUAGCAGUUCAACAAAAAAACUGCAGCAAUUCUACAUGGGAAACUAUGAUAUUUCAGGUCUGCUACUAUGUACGUUGCUUGUUGGUAUGCCAAUGAGUACAAACAUUUUGUGUAGGUUCUUUGCCCCUUCAGCUUUCUCUGCCAUGGAUGUGUGCAUGCGUGCUAUGUGCGUGAGUGCGCUACAGCAAUUUGUGUAAAAGAAGCAUUUUCAAUUGGGAAAAAUUAGUUGAUGGUUGUUGAAGUUCAGACAUUUGUAUUGGUGACGUUUAGUAAUUAUAGAAUGAGAAGUAGUGCGUGCCGUCUUGUGCCCA